rnacentral:rRNA from 1 species
UACAGAGGUCUCAAGCGUUGUUCGGAUUCAUUGGGCGUAAAGGGUGCGUAGGCGGCGCGGUAGUCGGGUGUGAAAUCUCGGAGCUUAACUUCCGAAACUGCAUUCGAUACUGCCGUGCUUGAGGACUGGAGAGGAGACUGGAAUUUACGGUGUAGCGGUGAAAUGCGUAGAUAUCGUAAGGAAGACCAGUGGCGAAGGCGGGUCUCUGGACAGUUCCUGACGCUGAGGCACGAAGGUCAGGGGAGCAAACGGG